rnacentral:rRNA from 1 species
CAGUCGCCACGGUAAUACAGAGGAUGCAAGCGUUAUCCGGAAUGAUUGGGCGUAAAGCGUCUGUAGGUGGCUUUUCAAGUCCGCCGUCGAAUCCCAGGGCUCAACCCUGGACAGGCGGUGGAAACUACCAAGCUGGAGUACGGUAGGGGCAGAGGGAAUUUCCGGUGGAGCGGUGAAAUGCGUAGAGAUGUGGAGGAACACCAGUGGCGAAGGCGACUCUCUGGUCUGUAACUGACGCUGAGGAGCGAAAGCGUGGGGAGCGAACAGGAUUAGAUACCCCCGUAGUCCCUGUCUCUUAUAC